CCCAAUUGCGGUGUCUACCAUGCAGUCGAGCGGAGCACAGGAGAGGUUGCUGGAUGCGUGGCCAGUGGCGGAAGUGUGAGGAAUACAUCUGACUCUACUCUGUCGUGAGCGAUAACGUACGGAAACUUACGCUAAUACCGCAUACGACCUACGGGUGAAAGCAGGGGAUCUUCGGACCUUGCGCAUUUGAAUGAGCCGAUGUCGGAUUAUCUAGUUGGCGGGGUAAAGGCCCGCCAAGGUCACGAUCCGGACCUGGACUGAGAGGAUGAUCACUGACACUGAAACUGAGACACGAUCGCAUACUCCUACGGGAGGCAGCAAUGGGGAAUAUUGGACAAUGGGCACGAGCCUGAUCAGCCACUAGCUGCGUGAGAAGAACAACGCCUUCGGGUUGUAAAGACAUCUUGUUGAGAAAGAAAUACAGCAUGGCAGAUACACGGUUGCGAUGACGGCACCCAAAGAACAGUAUGCACCGUCUAAGUUCGCGCCAGCAGCAGCGGUAAUACGAAGAGUGCUAACAGUACUAAUCACAGUUACUAGACCUAAAGAGUGCCGUAUGUAGCUCGAUCAACUACGUGGUGCCAAAGACCUCCGCGCGUCAACAUCGGGAACAGCAACAGGAUACUGCACGACUAGGUAAUAGAGGUAGGAGGGUAGCGCCUAGUACUGGCUGUAACAGUGAAAUGAGGAGAGAUCAGCAGGAACAUCCACGGCGAACGACAGCUACCGCGACCAACAUUGACACUCGAAACACGCAGAGCAGUGAAAAGCAAACACAAACAUCCAGAUACCCUGGUAGUACACGACGCUCAUACGAUGCGAACUGGAUGUCGGGGGCAAUCUGGCACGCAGUAUCGACAGCAUAACGCGUGAACGUGUCGCCGCCUGCGGAGUACAGUCGCAAGACUCGAAAUCUCAAAGGAAGUAGACGCGGCAGCACCGCACACAGACCGAUGGAGUAUGAUGGUCUUAACUACGAUGCAACACCUAAGAACCCGUACUCUGGCCCCUGACACAUCGUAGACACUUUCGAGAAUAUGGACUUUGCUGCCAUCUCGAGACUCUCGAUCACACGAGGCCUGCACGUCGCUGUCGUCAGCCUCGUGACGUGGGGAUGUUGGGCUAAGAUCCAGCAACGAGAGCGUAACCCUAGUCCUUAGCUGCCUCAGCACAGUAAUGCCUGGGAACUCAUAGGCGAAUCCGACCAGCUGCACAAACCGGAGGAAGGUACGGCAUGACGUCAAGUCAUCAUAGGCCCUUAGCGGCAAGGGCUACACAAGUACUACAAUGGUCAGGGACAGAAGGCUGCAAGCCGGACACGGUAAGCCAAUCCCAGAAACCCCUCUCAGUCAGGAUUGGAGUUUGCAACUCGACUCCAUGAAGUCGGACUCGCUAGUAAUUCCAGAUCAGCAUUUCGCGGUGAAUACGUUCCCGGGCCUUCACACUCCGCCCGUCACACCAUGUAGUUUGUUGCACCAGAAGCAGGUAGCUUAACCUUAGGGAGGGCGCUUGCCACGGAGUGGCUCAUGACUGGGGGAAGUCGAACAAGUUGCCUUCC
rnacentral:rRNA from 1 species